GCGGGGCCGCCUCAGCGCGGCCGGUGCGCGCUGUCGCCAACCCGGGGACUCCCGUCCCGCCUCCGCUCGUGGCCCGUGGCCCGACUGCUGGGUGUCACCACCGUCCGCGGAGGAGGCGGCCCCGAACGAGCUCCCAAGGGACUCCCCGGGGCCGAGCCGGGCCCGCAUCGGACAACAGCGUUCGAGUAUCGGGUUCAACGCAGCACCACGAACUGAGACAACGGGAAGGGGCUUUACACCGGCAUCACCAGAGACACAAACGCUGCCCAGCUGCAUCCCAUGGCUUCCCUCUGCCUUACGUGACUCGGGUGAGAGGCCCACUCUCUUAAACGUCUGCCUCAACUCCCUCCAUUAAGUAAGAAUGCUGUGCGACGAGGUAGAAGCAAAUGGGAGAGGACAACGCUGCGGAGCUCCUCUACAUGGGUGAGGUGUGACGUGCAGGUAGGAGAUGGCAUGAGAGGGGGAGUCUGAGCACGACAGCAGAGCUAAAGCCAAAACUCUGCUCAUCUUCGUUAGCCCGAACGCAAACUCGGAGUAUUGCAAACCAUAUCAACCUGUCUUUGGAUCUGGCCGCUUCAAACACAAGCCAUUCCUACCACCCUGCAGAAGCAUCAUCAGCUAGUGUUAACGAUGGGGCAGCCGCCUACAAUUUUAAUAUGAGUACGGACUCGAAAGUGAGCUAGGAGAUGAGCCAGGCUGGCAAAUGCAUCAGCUCGUGGCAAUGCUUUGGUCCAUUCCUAAGAAGCCAUCCCUGCCAGGGAUUGGUAUCUGCUCUCAUUCUUUUUUAGCAUCAAGUAGGUUAAAUGGAAAAAUCCCUUCAGUACAGCGGCGAUGAGGAAGCAAGGGAACAUUUAUCUGCUCCAACUCCUGAUAUACUUCCACCUGCUUUUGUUAGUACAGAUCAGAGCGAGUACAGAUCUGGUUCCACCAGAACUCCGUCGCGUUUAAGGAAAGCGGUCAUUUGCUUUUGGAGUGCUUCCCGCGAUCCCUGCACUAUCCGUGCUGGGAAACAUCCCACUAUCCGUGCAGGGACACACCUCAGGAUCCCUGUUAGAACACACACAGACACCCCACUAUCCAUGCUGGGACACAACCCAGGAUCCCUGUUAUAACACACACACACCCCCCACUAUCCGUGCUGGGACACACCUUGGGAUCCGUGUUAGAACACACACACACGCCACAUUAUCCCUGCUGGGACACACCUCAGGAUCCCUGUUAGAACACACACACCCAUCCCACUAUCCAUGCUGGGACAGACCUCAGGAUCCCUGUUAGAAGACACACACACACUCCACUAUAC